rnacentral:piRNA from 1 species
UGGUGGCUCUCUUUCCUUAUGCUCUC